rnacentral:rRNA from 1 species
UGCGUAGGGGGCAAGCGUUGUCCGGAUUUACUGGGCGUAAAGAGCGUGUAGGCGGCCAGGCAGGUCUGUUGUGAAAACUGGAGGCUCAACUUCCAGACGUCGACAGAAACCGCUUGGCUAGAGUCCGGAAGAGGAGAGUGGAAUUCCCGGUGUAGUGGUGAAAUGCGUAGAUAUCGGGAGGAACACCAGUGGCGAAGGCGACUACCUGGCCUGUUCUUGACGCUGAGGCGCGAAAGCUAGGGGAGCAAACGGG